rnacentral:rRNA from 1 species
GACGUAGGGAGCGAGCGUUGUCCGGAUUUAUUGGGCGUAAAGAGCUCGUAGGCGGCUCGUUGCGUCGGCUGUGAAAACCCGCAGCUCAACUGUGGGCUUGCAGCUGAUACGGGCGGGCUGGGAUUCGGUAGGGGAGACUGGAAUUCCUGGUGUAGCGGUGAAAUGCGCAGAUAUCAGGAGGAACACCGGUGGCGAAGGCGGGUCUCUGGGCCGAUAUCGACGCUGAGGAGCGAAAGCGUGGGGAGCGAACAGG